GACGAACGCUGGCGGCGUGCUUAACACAUGCAAGUCGAACGGAAAGGCCCCUUUGGGGGUACUCGAGUGGCGAACGGGUGAGUAACACGUGAGUAACCUGCCCUUGACUUCGGGAUAACUUCAGGAAACUGGGGCUAAUACCGGAUAGGAAUCCUUGCUGCAUGGUGGGGGUUGGAAAGCUUCGGCGGUUUUGGAUGGAUUCGCGGCUUAUCAGCUUGUUGGUGGGGUAGUGGCUUACCAAGGCUUUGACGGGUAGCCGGCCUGAGAGGGCGACCGGCCACAUUGGGACUGAGAUACGGCCCAGACUCCUACGGGAGGCAGCAGUGGGGAAUAUUGCACAAUGGGCGGAAGCCUGAUGCAGCAACGCCGCGUGCGGGAUGACGGCCUUCGGGUUGUAAACCGCUUUCAGCAGGGGCGAAGCUUGUGGUGACGGUACCUGCAGAAGAAGCACCGGCUAACUACGUG
rnacentral:rRNA from 1 species